UACUGUUCAAGUAAUUGGAGCUGCAUGUC
rnacentral:piRNA from 1 species